GUCUACGGCCAUGCCACCCUGAACGCGUCCGAUCUCGUCUGAUCUGGAAGCUAAGCAGGGUCGGGCGUAGUUAGUACUUGGAUGGGAGACUGCCUAGGAAGACCAGGUGCUGUAGGCG
rnacentral:rRNA from 1 species